rnacentral:rRNA from 1 species
UUGACCUCGGAUCAGGUAGGGAUACCCGCUGAACUUAAGCAUAUCAAUAAGCGGAGGAAAAGAAACCAACAGGGAUUGCCUCAGUAACGGCGAGUGGAAGCGG